rnacentral:rRNA from 1 species
UACAGAGGUCCCAAGCGUUGUCCGGAAUUAUUGGGCGUAAAGAGCUCGUAGGCGGUUCGUCGCGUCGGAUGUGAAAACCCGGGGCUCAACCUCGGGCCUGCAUUCGAUACGGGCAGGCUGGAGUUCGGCAGGGGAGACUGGAAUUCCUGGUGUAGCGGUGAAAUGCGCAGAUAUCAGGAGGAACACCGGUGGCGAAGGCGGGUCUCUGGGCCGAUACUGACGCUGAGGAGCGAAAGCGUGGGGAGCGAACAGG